CGACGCGCAACCGGCGGAGAACCGUUAAUCCCACGAGAACACGGCUGGCCCGUGGCCUGCUCGAGGAUCACGGACACUCCGCUUAUCGUUGAAUCAGCACGCAGUCACAAGGUUCGCCACACGUCCGAAUCUAAUCGAAGGGAUGGCUUACCUUAGUGUGUAGGCCCGAGAAGAAAGUGCGUCGCGGGGCAGAGUACGACGACAUGUUGAUCUUGUUGACGACCAUUGUCAUGGCAGCACCGAAGCCCGUCUCCUCGUUCGAUCGUGGUCCACGUAAUUUCUCUGUUCAAUCGGCACGCAACUCUUCGUUCCGUGCCAGCAUCGACGCCUCCUCACUCAUUCGAACAGUCCUCGACAACUUUGCUUCACUGUUUCUCUCCCUCGCAUAGCGCGCGAGACUUUUAACCGCGCGAACGUUCACCGCGAAUUAUUUCCGCCUCGUUGCACAGCGUAAGGCACGAAGCACGACGCGUCGAUCGAAUCGUCCCAACGAAAUCCUUCUUCGACACCGAAUGCACAGCUGCUUGACUCGAAACGAACCACUCUGUUGAACUUUCGAUGAUAGCGGUGGAGAUCGCGAGGCGAUAACGAUACCAACAACAAAACCGAUCAGAGGUACGCGCGACACUGACCGCGCGGCGCGGCGCGACCCUCUAUAUAGCCUCCCCACCACCGCGAGUCGCGGCCAAUCGGCGUGCGUUCAGCUGGCGCGGCGGCUCGGCGCGCAGAUACGAAAAGUGGUAGCGCGCUCGCUGGUGCAUCAGUGUCGCCGUGACCUUCGAACUCGGAGGGUUGUGUCUAACGCGAUGUGAAUCGACCGCGAGAAGGGAUAGAGAGCCGAUCAUUGGAGAUCGUCGGGAACGAAACGACGCGAAAAGCACCGGUGGUAGGGCACGGAGGCUGGAUGUACGCGAACUACGAUGUUCGAUCGACCCGUGAUUGGCCGUUGCGGAGAUCCCCUUCGUCCACGGGAUUUCGAAUUGUCCGCGAUCUUCUUUUAAGUGUCAUUCCUGACCUGCACGCGACGAACACUGUUGAAUGUACAUUAGAGAGAUGGGAAUGUAUUAGAAUCUUUUUAUGGUUUGAUUGUUUUGGAGCAGCCAAUUUUCUAUCGACACUUGCGAUACAACGAAUCCUUCUGUUUUUAUAAUCUCUUCAGACUUCAUCAGCGACGCGUUCUGUUUAUACAUGUCAUCCAUUUUCUUUUUGCCAAUUCCCAAUAACUCGAUAAAACGAAUGACGGCUUUGACGAUGCCGAAACUGGUUUCGAACUUUCCGUGAAUCGCGUUAAUUGGACGACGAUUCGAUCGACUUUGGAUCCAGGACGUGGCGCGAUCGUUAAAAAAUUAAUAGUCGUCCGUGUUUUGCGAGUUUACAGCGAGUUCGAGCCGCGAUUUCGUUCCUCCAUAUAAAAUUUUUUACAAAGCCACCACGACGUGCUAAUUCGCCUAACAUAGCGCGUUUCGCGUGGAUCCGAACGAAACGUAUCCUAAAACGUUUCAAUAUUUGAUUCUUAACACCUCGCGGGUCGGGAUCGCGUCAGCGUGUGUUUUUUUGGCACGUUUCGAGAACCGCGGCCGAGCGGAUGCGUAAAUUCUGUCGCGUUGCCGUAAACAUGCCUCAACGUGUCCGCAUCAACAUUUGCAUUACAUUUUAUUUGCCUCUGUGUAAUUAUUUAAUCGCGUUACAUCACUCGAGAACGUGUGCACGAGAGAAAAGCACCGCUAGCAGCGUUCUCGGAAAACCUUCACCGGUCGUUUACCGAGUUCCACAAAAUCCUAAUUCCAAAUUUCUCGUGGGAAGUAUUCAUUCAGAGAACGUGGUACGUGUUGGGAAAAUGAUUGCUCAGAAACAAAGUUGUGGAAAAUCGGUUGGCAGUUUGGGGAACCACCAAAUUUGAUAGAAAGAAAAGAGAAACGUAAUACAAGUUAUUUUCUGGCUCGUUAAUGAGUUUCGUUGAUACGCAUAUACCUAUUAUUAUCGAAAAUAAAAUAUAAAAACACGCGAGGAAAUUGUAUCCGAAUAAAUCACUGCGUUCGUUAUUUGUACCCAUGUAUUAAAUGAUAAAGAAGAAGGUAUCGGAGGAAUUCCUAUUUUCUUCUUAGAGUCGAGAAGCCACGCGAUAGCCGCGACUAACGAUCAACGAGACAACGCGCGAGUGUCGCUGCUGGCAAGGUGACGGAUCUGCACUUCCAUUACGUGAUUCGUAACGAGAUGGAAAAUAUUCAUGGGCGAAACCUUUUUUUUCCCCCUUGCAGACCAUUCGCAGCAUCCGGCGUUGUUUUUAUGUAAAUUUUUCUAAUUGCGCCCCGAAGCUUUCGGGCGAGUUUUUUCCUCGAUGGUCGCCGUUUCCUGGACGCGCACCAGGUCACAGUGUUAUUAUUCCCGCUGCAUUGCGCAGUUGUCGAAGGUAGACUCUAAUAAACACAAGGUUGCAAAAGUGAUUCAUCGAAUUGAGGAAUUAAUUAUCAUCUAUACAUGGUACCUGGAUCAUUUUGGGCACAAGGGAAAUUUCAGACCUCGAGUGGAAUAGAUACGGACAAGUCAGAGAAAUCUGUAAAUCGAUUUUAACAUACGAAAUAUACAAUCCCAGUUUAAUAUUUUUCGAUAAUUUCGAUAUAAAAGCAAUCGUACGCGUAGGCACGUGUCAGUAAUCCCGGGGAGGUUAAAUAACAAUGAAUUUUAACGCGGGAUCGUUCGACGACAACUCGUGAAAAAUUGUUUUAAUCUCGUUGUACACGGGCAGCCGAACUCUGGCAUUGUAAAUCAGUGGCAGGCGUCGGCGUCGGUGGCAGCAUCGCGUUCAGCCGCGUCCCGACGCCAUUAAUUUCGUCGGAGCACGAUGAUGGAGCCCAGGGUUCCUAUUUGCGACUACGCGAAAAGAAAACGACCGCUUAGGAGAGGCAGAAUCGUAGAAAGGAAAAGAAACGAGGGUACGUGAACAGGCAUCGGCGACGCGGAGUCGCGUGUAAAUUUAUCUCCACCGCGAACUGCACGCGCCUUUCUUCGGGCGAGCGAACUUUCCAUGUGCACCGUUCGCGCCUCGAAUCGACCAGUCCGCGUCGAGGCGAAUCGAGAAUCGAAGCGGUUGAAAAGUACGCGUGUAAAUCGUAAAGUAACAUAGGUAGGACGCCAGCUUGGAUUUGAACGGGUACACUCAAAUGUUGCCGACGUUAUUUAUUAAAGAUAAGUACUUGACUGGCGAAGGUAGGACUCGAUUGAAUUUUAGUUCGAGUUAAGACUCUCUUACUCAAUUAUUAAAAGCAAAGCUUGCGAAGCUAGAGAAGGUGGAAACUAAUUGAAUUUUGGUCUCCCUGUUCUUCGAAUUAAGACUCUCCACCUGAUGAACACCGCCCUUCUGAAACGAUUUCUGCCAACGAACUAUGAAUACAAUGGUGUAUCGAAUUAAAAGAAGAACACAGAAUCUGGAGAAAAAAAUGAUCUGGAUCGCGUCGACGGAAGCGACGGGAACAAAGCGGAAAGAAGACGAAACGAUCGUUAAUGGCUCGUAAUGACGACGGGACGUGAAUUGCUCGGCGUAACUGUAAUUUGCGCCUUUUUUCUGCCCUCUUCCUCUCGCCUCGACUGUUUACUUAUGUAAUGCUUGUGCAAUAAUUACCGAUGUUUAAGCAAUUGACCGCCUCCGGCGUUACCGAGGGCAAAAAAAGAAACGCUCUCGAGCGACUCGAAUUGGACGCCGAGAUGCGUGGAUAAACAAUCAAUAUUUAAUGACUGCGCGCUGCCUCGAUGGCGAUCGUUUAACCUUUCGUUGCUGAGACUCGAUGCGCCAGGAUUGAUCGAAGCUUGAAAACUAUGGUAAUUAUAUUUAGGCUCUUUCUUCCUCUGAAAUUGAUCUAUCUUCUUAUUAUUCUAUAUACAAAGUCCCCUGGUGAGAAUAAGCACAAUGUUCUUGUACUUAUAACGAUUUAAAUGUUUACGUCCGUUGGCACAGUCCCCUCCGUAGCAAAGGCCAGUAUUACCUGAGGAGGGCAUCAGUUUAAUGCACCCCCAGAGCGUCUCGGUUUUCCGAGUAAGAACAUCGUUUCUGUUUUGUAAAACGCGUACUAUUAAACA